UUGGUACUCCUUCCGUCCAAAAAUACCUGUCAUCAAAAUAAAUAAAAGGGGAUGUAUCUAGAUGUAUUUUAGUUUUAGAUACAUCACUUUUUGUUUAUUUUGAUGAUAAGUAUUUUCGGACGGAGGGAGUACGUA
rfam:Triticum urartu cultivar G1812 contig820047, whole genome shotgun sequence.